rnacentral:rRNA from 1 species
AUUGAACGCUGGCGGCAGGCCUAACACAUGCAAGUCGAGCGGAGCGGCGGACGGGUGAGUAAUGCCUAGGAAUCUGCCUGGUAGUGGGGGAUAACGUCCGGAAACGGGCGCUAAUACCGCAUACUAGCAGAUGAGCCUAGGUCGGGUUGGAUGGUUGGUGGGGUAAAGGCCUACCAAGGAGACGAUCAGUAACUGGUCGGAGAGGAUGAUCAGUCACACUGGAACUGAGACACGGUCCAGACUCCUACGGGAGGCAGCAGUGGGGAAUCUUGGACAAUGUGCUAAGGCCUGAUCCAGCCAUGCCGCGUGUGUGAAGAAGGUCUUCGGAUUGUAAAGCACUUUAAGUUGGGAGGCGUUACCAACAGAGUAAGCACCGGCUAACGUCGUGCCAGCAGCCGCGGUAAUUC